rnacentral:rRNA from 1 species
GGAGCCAGCCGCCGAAGGUGGGACAAAUGAUUGGGGUGAAGUCGUAACAAGGUAUCCGUACCGGAAGGUGCGGAUGGAUCACCUCCUUUCUAAGGAG